GAUUGAAUUGUAUCUCUCCUGUGCUCAGACCCCUUCAGAGGCUCCUACUAUCUACGAGGAGGAAGACGAGCAGGAUGCAAAGAGCAUGAGCUCUUGAGCAAAACCACCGAGAAUUUCCACUCUGCAGCCACUGUGUACUUCGAUAGUUGCUUCAAUGUUGUUUGUCUUCAUUUGGAUCUUCUAGGCAGGAAAGGC